UGACAUUAUCUAACUUAAGAUAUUUAUUUGGAGUGUACAUUACACUCACAGGCUGUGACAAUAUAUAAAUAUCACUUCUUAAUUAUCCUCGUAUUAUUGUAACAUCAUUUAUAAUGAUAUCACAAUAAUCAUUCUUUAUUGAUAAACUAUAACCAUCUUUGGUCAAAAGGCCAAAAGAGAUUAUAUUCAUCAAGAAAGAUGGAUAAUAGUGAUAAUCACUCAAAAUGAUACUAUUGAAUUUGAAAAUAAGCUCGACGACUCCUAAAGCCAGGAUUGAAACUUGACUUCCGUCUCUCACAUUCAGGAAUCUCUC
rnacentral:lncRNA from 1 species